ensembl:snRNA U11 spliceosomal RNA
AAAAAGGGCAUCUGUCGUGACUGACACAGCGGGAGAGGGUCUCUCUGAUCCCGCUGCGGAAUCGCUAUCAAGAGAUUUCGGAUGCACAAUUUUUAUAAGCCGGGGCUGCUAAUGACCGCCUGUCUUGGCGCCCCA